UCUGAAACAGUUUUUGAAAAUUCUAUCUUUGGAAGAUAGAGGAUGGGGUUUCCCAUUUCUGAA
rnacentral:tRNA from 1 species